GUGGGGAAUAUUGGACAAUGGGCGAAAGCCUGAUCCAGCCAUGCCGCGUGUGUGAAGAAGGUCUUCGGAUUGUAAAGCACUUUAAGUUGGGAGGAAGGGCAGUAAGUUAAUACCUUGCUGUUUUGACGUUACCGACAGAAUAAGCACCGGCUAACUUCGUGCCAGCAGCCGCGGUAAUACGAAGGGUGCAAGCGUUAAUCGGAAUUACUGGGCGUAAAGCGCGCGUAGGUGGUUUUGUAAGUUGGAGGUGACAUCCCCGGGCUCAACCUGGGAACUGCCUCCAAAACUGCAUGACUAGAGUACGGUAGAGGGUAGUGGAAUUUCCUGUGUAGCGGUGAAAUGCGUAGAUAUAGGAAGGAACACCAGUGGCGAAGGCGACUACCUGGACUGAUACUGACACUGAGGUGCGAAAGCGUGGGGAGCAAACAGGAUUAGAUACCCUAGUAGUCC
rnacentral:rRNA from 1 species